rnacentral:rRNA from 1 species
UACGUAGGGUGCGAGCGUUAAUCGGAAUUACUGGGCGUAAAGUGUGUGCAGGCGGCCGCGCAAGUCGAGUGUGAAAGCCCCGGGCUUAACUUGGGAAUUGCGCUCGAAACUACGUGGCUGGAGUGUGGCAGAGGAAGGUGGAAUUCCACGUGUAGCGGUGAAAUGCGUAGAGAUGUGGAGGAACACCAAUGGCGAAGGCAGCCUUCUGGGCCAACACUGACGCUCAUGCACGAAAGCGUGGGGAGCAAACAGG